rnacentral:rRNA from 1 species
UACGGAGGGUGCUAGCGUUGUUCGGAAUUACUGGGCGUAAAGGGCGCGUAGGCGGCCUUCUAAGUCGAACGUGAAAUCCCUGGGCUCAACCCAGGAACUGCGUCCGAUACUGGAAGGCUUGAAUCCGGGAGAGGGAUGCGGAAUUCCAGGUGUAGCGGUGAAAUGCGUAGAUAUCUGGAGGAACACCGGUGGCGAAGGCGGCUAUCUGGCCCGUAAUUGACGCUGAGGCGCGAAAGCGUGGGGAGCAAACAGG